AAGGAGGCCACAAACAGCAGAAUAACCCAGACCCUGACAUCACAGAGCCAUUGACAAUCUACUAGAAAUUUCAUGUCUCUCUAGCAGUCUGACACCUUCAAUAAGAGACAGUCACAUCUAUUCUUUCUGAAGACAACUACCUGGAGGAUUCAUCUACGUGACAAGAACCUUGGCUUCCACAACAACCCCCUUACCUUAUCUCAAGCUGAUUUCAACUCUUCAGGCAGAGCUUAACCCUUUCAACCAAUUGCCAAUCAGGAAAUCUUUGAAUCCACCCAUGACUUGUAAGUUCCCCCACUUGCAGUUGCCCAACCUUUCUGCACUGAACCAAUGCAUAUCUCACAUAUUGAUAUGUCUUAUGUCUCCCUAAAACACAUAAAACCAAGCUGUAACCCAACUACCUUGGGCAUGUGUGCUCAAGGCUGUGGUCAUGGAUCAUGAUCCUUAAUCUUUGCAAAAUAAACUUUUAAAUUCAUUGAGA
rnacentral:lncRNA from 1 species